GGAGUCCAACGUGUGCGCGAGUCGUUAGGCCUGUCAAACCCAACGGCGCAAUCAAGGUGAAGGAAGGGUUCUCCUUCCUAGGGAGGACGGGGGCCCCGCGUCGGGCCCCCCGCACUCCCGGGGCGUCUCCGGCUCAUCGCGAGCGGAGGCGCACCUAGAGCGUUCACGUUGGGACCCGAAAGAUGGUGAACUAUGCCUGGCCAGGACGAAGCCAGGGGAAACCCUGGUGGAGGUCCGUAGCGGUUCUGACGUGCAAAUCGAUCGUCGGAGCUGGGUAUAGGGGCGAAAGACUAAUCGAACCAUCUAGUAGCUGGUUCCCUCCGAAGUUUCCCUCAGGAUAGCUGUCGCCCGAGUGAGACGAGUCUCAUCCGGUAAAGCGAAUGAUUAGAGGCAUUGGGGUCGAAACGACCUCAACCUAUUCUCAAACUUUAAAUGGAUGAGAACCCCGGCUUGCUUGAUCGCCCCUCUCAACGGGGGUCCUGGUGAAGUCGGGGCUUCGGAUCCGGGUGUCAAGUGGGCCAAUUUUG
rnacentral:rRNA from 1 species